AUAAAGAGUCGGACCUGCCCAGUGAUAAUUUAAACGGCCGCGGUACUCUGACCGUGCAAAGGUAGCAUAAUCAUUUGCCUUAUAAUUGAAGGCUAGUAUGAAUGGUUUGACAAGAAUAAAGCUGUCUCUAUUGCAAUUAUAUAUAAUUUUAUUUUUAGGUGAAGAAGCCUAAAUUUAAUUAAAAGACAAGAAGACCCUAUCGAGCUUUAAUAAAAUUAAUAAGGUAAAAAUAUAGUAGUAAAUUUAUGUUUAUUAAAAAUUUUGGUUGGGGCGACCAUGGAACACGUAAAGCUUCUAUUAAAUUUAGUAACAUACAUGUAUUGAUCCGAAAAUUUCGAUUAAAGAAAUUAGUUACCGUAGGGAUAACAGCAUUAUCUUUUUUAAGAGUUCAUAUCGAAAAAAAGGUUUGUGACCUCGAUGUUGGACCAGAAUAUCCUAAAGAUGCAGAAGUCUUUGAAGGUUGGUCUGUUCGACCAUUAAAAUUCUA
rnacentral:rRNA from 1 species